rnacentral:rRNA from 1 species
AUGAAUGGCCCUUGGGUGGUCAUUCGUCACUUUAAUGAAAUUCUAUAUUCCCAUGAGAAGGAAGGAGGGGCUCCACGCCAAGUAAAGAUGCAAAAUUUCAGAGAUGCGCUGGUCGACUGCCAAUUGGAGGACACGGGAUAUAAGGGUGAAAUAUUUACAUGGAGAAGGAGGAGACUGAGGGAAAGGUUAGACAGAGGUGUGUGUAAUGGCGAGUUCCAUGCACUAUUUCCGAAUGCAACCAUCACCAAUGCUGAGCACUCUAAAUUAGACCAUAGACCUUUGGUC